UACAGAGGGGGCAAGCGUUAUUCGGAAUUAUUGGGCGUAAAGGGCGCGUAGGCGGCUUGGCAAGUGGAAGGUGAAAUCCCUUGGCUUAACCAAGGAACUGCGCCGGAUACUGUCGAACUAGAGGCCGGGAGAGGGAAGCGGAAUUCCGAGUGUAGCGGUGAAAUGCGUAGAUAUUCGGAGGAACACCGGUGGCGAAGGCGGCUUCCUGGACCGGUUCUGACGCUGAUGAGCGAAAGCUAGGGUAGCAAACAGG
rnacentral:rRNA from 1 species